rnacentral:lncRNA from 1 species
CGGUCUCUGAUAAUGCUGCCUCAAUGUAACACCAAUUUUUUCGUCGCAAUUGCUCCUGAGAGGACAAUAAAGCAAUGAGAAAGUUGCAACAAUCGAGUGGUAACAAAGGAGACCGACGGUUCAUUUUGGAUUCAUCAUCGAAUAAUCUAAAUAUAUUAAUGUAAAGGGAAGUUGUGCACAUUUGGUAUAAAUCGAUUGACUCUUUCUCAAAAAUAUCGUUUCCGCGCGCCCGUUCCGCAGAUUAACACGAAUUACACGUUGAUACCGGCAACGUGGGUGCGCGCUCGUGUUUUGUUUUGAUUCGCCGCUUCGUUACGCGCGUCUCCCUCCGCGGCUACGUUCAGGGCAGUCGGAGCGGGCAACGCGCGCGCGUUUCUCUCUCUCUCUCUUUCCUUCUCUCUUGAUCACCUUCACGCGUCGAAGUCGCGCGUGUGGUCGUGCGUGCAAACGUACGAAUCGGGAAUUUAGUAGCGAGCGGCCAGUUAAUUGCGUGUGCGUGUCAAUUACCAUACAUCGCCGCGAUCGAUGGCUCCAUCAAUAUAGACAUGUACGUAUACAUAUCCGCGAAUGACGUGCUUUCACCGCUUAGCUCCGCAGCUCGCCGCCCGUUUCGGAAUUGUCCGGAUUCUGGCUCACCCCUCUCACCCUCGAUCGAUUUGUUUAUUAAUUGAACGCGAAUCUCUCGGCGCGAUAUCUUCCGGUCGAGGAUUUCUCGCUUUUCGCGACGGUUGCGGCGGCAUCGAUGUGAAGUUGUCGUCGGAUGAUCAAAAAGUCCCUACUGUCGGUUCUUUUAAUUGCCACCGCGUGUCCGAGAGUGUGUCUCGUGUCUGUUGUUGAUUUAUUCGGACAAAAAGUGCGCGCACGUUGUGAGGAUUAUAAACGUAUUAGGAGUGAAGUUAGCUUCGAAGGUCCCCGUGAGAUUCGUCCGAUGGAAAACUCCGGCAUUGAAGGUAAGUAGAUUCUUGUAAAAGUUACUCGCCUUCCGAGCGUCUCAAAUUGCGUUUUUGAGAAAAUAAAUGUCUGCAGCCUGUCGAAUUUGAUAUCGCAAUUAUCGUGCCGGUCCGAUAAGAUUUUUUUAUUUGCGUUUGUUUAGUAUAUACUCUAUUUAUAAUGAAUAUAUACUUCAAUAUAUAUUUUACACGUAAAAUGCACAUUAAAAUAUUAACAUCAAAGCGCAAGACUGUAAGAAUUCUAGCUUAAGAUCUGAAUUGCAAAUCGUAAAGUGGACUUAACGAUGCGAGCGAUUAUCUCGGUUAUCGAUAUCCUCUCGUGAUCUAUUCCAGUAAACAUUAGGUGAUGCGUCCCGACAGUUUCGUCAAGUGAACUCCAUGCGACCGUAGUUUCACUUCGUACAAUGGAAUUUCCAUGGAUCACUUUCAGGCGAGUUAGUCAAUACUCUCUCAGUAAUUGUAAUUAAUACUCUCUCGGUAAUUACUCGGCAGCGAUUGCGCCUGCGAUCGCAUCUCCAUGGAUUUGCCACGAUCAUUGAUCGUGCUUGAUCUCUCGAUCAAAGGCGAAAUGAAAGCAUAAUUACCGCUUCUAAUUAAUGUUAUGAUUUGCAUGUUAAGAAUUACUUGAAUUACGAUACUAAACCGAUUUCAGACGCUCUAUAAUUAAUUUGUAUCGGAUUUCAAAAUAACAUUUUUCACUCCUGAAAUAGCGCAAGAAAAAAACGAGACAAAAAUUUUGACCGAAUUUUUAAGCAAUCUUCAAAGUGA